rnacentral:ncRNA from 2 species
GUUCUCUCCUAUUGUGCUGGCCAUUAUAACUCCGGAGUAAGGGAAGAGGGUGCAAGGCCCUCGCGGUCCCGCCGCUGUAAAUGGGGACGAAACCCGGAACGGCCACUGUCUGAGAAGUGCGAGUGCCCGCCGUCAGUAUUUGAUUUGUAGGCGAGGCGCUAGAAGCUUCUCACAAGAUGGGAAGGCACGGGGAGUAGGGUGAACCAUGAGCCAGAAGACCUGCUCGGAGCAUUGACCGUCG